rnacentral:rRNA from 1 species
AUUGAACGCUGGCGGCAGGCCUAACACAUGCAAGUCGAACGGUAACAGGAAACAGCUUGCUGUUUCGCUGACGAGUGGCGGACGGGUGAGUAAUGUCUGGGAAACUGCCUGAUGGAGGGGGAUAACUACUGGAAACGGUAGCUAAUACCGCAUAACGUCGCAAGACCAAAGAGGGGGACCUUCGGGCCUCUUGCCAUCGGAUGUGCCCAGAUGGGAUUAGCUAGUAGGUGGGGUAACGGCUCACCUAGGCGACGAUCCCUAGCUGGUCUGAGAGGAUGACCAGCCACACUGGAACUGAGACACGGUCCAGACUCCUACGGGAGGCAGCAGUGGGGAAUAUUGCACAAGGGGCGCAAGCCUGAUGCAGCCAUGCCGCGUGUAUGAAGAAGGCCUUCGGGUUGUAAAGUACUUUCAGCGGGGAGGAAGGGAGUAAAGUUAAUACCUUUACUCAUUGACGUUACCCGCAGAAGAAGCAGCGGCUAACUCCGU